rnacentral:rRNA from 1 species
UACGGAGGGUGCGAGCGUUGUCCGGAAUCAUUGGGCGUAAAGGGCGCGUAGGUGGCCCGGUCAGUUCGUGGUGAAAGCGCGGGGCUCAACCCUGCGUCGGCCAUGAAUACUGCCGCGGCUGGAGCACUGUAGAGGCAGGCGGAAUUCCGGGUGUAGCGGUGGAAUGCGUAGAGAUCCGGAAGAACACCAGUGGCGAAGGCGGAACUCUGGCCGGAAC